AGGGAAGAAGCGAAAGUGACGGUACCUGCAGAAGAAGCGCCGGCUAACUACGUGCCAGCAGCCGCGGUAAUACGUAGGGCGCAAGCGUUAUCCGGAAUUAUUGGGCGUAAAGAGCUCGUAGGCGGUUUGUCGCGUCUGCCGUGAAAGUCCGGGGCUCAACUCCGGAUCUGCGGUGGGUACGGGCAGACUAGAGUGAUGUAGGGGAGACUGGAAUUCCUGGUGUAGCGGUGAAAUGCGCAGAUAUCAGGAGGAACACCGAUGGCGAAGGCAGGUCUCUGGGCAUUAACUGACGCUGAGGAGCGAAAGCAUGGGGAGCGAACAGGAUUAGAUACCCUGGUAGUCCAUGCCGUAAACGUUGGGCACUAGGUGUGGGGGACAUUCCACGUUUUCCGCGCCGUAGCUAACGCAUUAAGUGCCCCGCCUGGGGAGUACGGCCGCAAGGCUAAAACUCAAAGGAAUUGACGGGGGCCCGCACAAGCGGCGGAGCAUGCGGAUUAAUUCGAUGCAACGCGAAGAACCUUACCAAGGCUUGACAUGAACCGGUAACGCCUGGAGACAGGUGCCCCGCUUGCGGUCGGUUUACAGGUGGUGCAUGGUUGUCGUCAGCUCGUGUCGUGAGAUGUUGGGUUAAGUCCCGCAACGAGCGCAACCCUCGUUCUAUGUUGCCAGCACGUGAUGGUGGGGACUCAUAGGAGACUGCCGGGGUCAACUCGGAGGAAGGUGGGGACGACGUCAAAUCAUCAUGCCCCUUAUGUCUUGGGCUUCACGCAUGCUACAAUGGCCGGUACAAAGGGUUGCGAUACUGUGAGGUGGAGCUAAUCCCAAAAAGCCGGUCUCAGUUCGGAUUGGGGUCUGCAACUCGACCCCAUGAAGUCGGAGUCGCUAGUAAUCGCAGAUCAGCAACGCUGCGGUGAAUACGUUCCCGGGCCUUGUACACACCGCCCGUCAAGUCACGAAAGUUGGUAACACCCGAAGCCGGUGGCCUAACCCCUUGUGGGAG
rnacentral:rRNA from 1 species